AAAUCACCCCAGUGUCACCCUGACCCCCCCCAGUGUCACCCCAAACUGGCAAUGGGAGGGGGGAACACCCAAAAAUGGGUAAAAAAGCCCCAAAAAUUUAACAAAAAAAAAAAAGAAUUCAAAACCAUCCAGGGGAGAAAAAAAAACGGAAAAAUCAACGUGAAAAAUGGGUGAAAAACACCCCAAAAUGGUGAAAAAUGGGUGAAAAACACCACAAAAACUGGGAAAAAUGGGUGAAAAACACCCCAAAAACUGGGAAAAAUGGGUGAAAAACACCCCAAAAUGGUGAAAAAUGGGUGAAAAACACCCCAAAAACGGUGAAAAAUGGGUGAAAAACACCCAAAAACGAAAAAAGUGAAAAAUUAAAUGCAUUUAAACCAAAUUUGGGCUCAAAAAUUCCGGAUCUGGGUAAAGGGAAAGUGAAAAUGGAUUUUGGAGAUGAGGAGAAAAGGAGAAAUUUAAACUUAAAAACUUUAAAAAGAAUCUUUAAAAAUUCUUUAAAAAUCUUUUAAAAAUCUUUUUAAAAAAUCCUUUAAAAAACCUUUUAAAUAUCCUUUAAAAGACCUGAAAAAAAUCUUUAAAAAUCUUUAAAAAUCCUUUAAAAACCCUUUAAAAAAAUCCUUUAAAAAACCUGAAAAAAAUCUUUAAAAAUCUUUAAAAAACCUUUAAAAACCCUUUAAAAAACCUCCAAAAAUCCUUUAAAAAAUCCUUUAAAAAUCCUCAAAAAAUCCUUUAAAAAAUCGUUUAAAAAUCCUUUAAAAAACCUCAAAAAAUCCUUUAAAAAAUCCUUUAAAAAAACCUCCAAAAAUCCUUUAAAAAAUCGUUUAAAAAUCCUUUAAAAAACCUCAAAAAAUCCUUUAAAAAAUCCUUUAAAAAACCUCCAAAAAUCCUUUAAAAAAUCGUUUAAAAAUCCUUUAAAAAACCUCCAAAAAUCCUUUAAAAAAUCCUUUAAAAAAUCCUUUAAAAAAAAACUAUAAAAAAGCCGUUUAAAAACCCCAUAACGACACAAACCAUCCCCAAAACCACCUUCAAACCCUUCCUCAGAGGGGCAAAACCCAAAACCAGGCUCUUCCCCACCCCCACUCCGGGAAUUUUGGGGGGCGGUGCCGACAGCGGGGGAGGGGAUCCCUGAGUCUGGUUUUCAUUUUGGGGAGGGGAUCCCCAAAUCUGGUUGUUAUUUUGGGGAGGGGGUUCCCCGAGUUUGGUUGUUAUUUUGGGGAGGGGAUCCCCAGGUCUGGUUGUUAUUUUGGGGAGGGGAUCCCCGAGUCUGGUUGUUAUUUAUUUUGGGGAGGGGGAUCCCCGAGUUUGGUUGUUGUUAUUUUGGGGAGGGGAUCCC
rnacentral:lncRNA from 1 species